UUUUCCAUAGUUUGGAAUCAUGGCUCAGAUUGAACGCUGGCGGCAGGCUUAACACAUGCAAGUCGAGCGGUAGCACAGGGGAGCUUGCUCCCCGGGUGAACCCGGAAGCGGGCGGACCGGCGCUGAAUAAAUAGUCUGGGAAACUGCCUGAUGGAGGGGGAUAACUACUGUGAAACGGUAGCUAAUACCGCAUAACGUCGCAAGACCAAAGAGGGGGACCUUCGGGCCUCUUGCCAUCAGAUGUGCCCAGAUGGGAUUAGCUAGUAGGUGGGGUAAUGGCUCACCUAGGCGACGAUCCCUAGCUGGUCUGAGAGGAUGACCAGCCACACUGGAACUGAGACACGGUCCAGACUCCUACGGGAGGCAGCAGUGGGGAAUAUUGCACAAUGGGCGCAAGCCUGAUGCAGCCAUGCCGCGUGUGUGAAGAAGGCCUUCGGGUUGUAAAGCACUUUCAGCGAGGAGGAAGGUGGUGAGCUUAAUACGCUCAUCAAUUGACGUUACUCGCAGAAGAAGCACCGGCUAACUCCGUGCCAGCAGCCGCGGUAAUACGGAGGGUGCAAGCGUUAAUCGGAAUUACUGGGCGUAAAGCGCACGCAGGCGGUUUGUUAAGUCAGAUGUGAAAUCCCCGGGCUCAACCUGGGAACUGCAUUUGAAACUGGCAAGCUAGAGUCUCGUAGAGGGGGGUAGAAUUCCAGGUGUAGCGGUGAAAUGCGUAGAGAUCUGGAGGAAUACCGGUGGCGAAGGCGGCCCCCUGGACGAAGACUGACGCUCUAGGUGCGAAAGCCGUGGCAGAAGCAAAUCUACGCAUUUAGUAUACCCCCCUUCGGUUUUAAGGUCCACGCUGUAAACGAUGUCGAUUUGGAGGUUGUGCCCUUGAGGCGUGGCUUCCGGAGCUAACGCGUUAAAUCGACCGCCUGGGGAGUACGGCCGCAAGGUUAAAACUCAAAUGAAAUUGACGGA
rnacentral:rRNA from 1 species